AGCGAGAUGGCGCAGCUGGUAGCGCGCUGGGCUCAUAACCAUGAUACCCAGAGGUCGUCGGAUCGAAACUGACUCUCGCUA
rnacentral:tRNA from 1 species